GCCCGUAAUUCGAGGGUUAGUGUUCAGGAUUCUGAGGUUUCCUGGAGCCUCCUCGGCCUUUCACCGCCUCCUACACGCUUGGAGGAGGCGUGGGACUUGCGUCUGACAGAGACAGGCACUUCCCAGAGCCCCAGCGUCACAGCCUUGGGAAAGAGCUGUUCUCCUAUGCCUAUUCCAUUGGAGUGUGAAGUCAUGUGAGAAGGAGAGAAUUGCUGCUGUACAUCAAAAAAUCAAAUUCAAGGUUUACUCUCCAGGUAUAAGACCAAGAAGUUAUCUCCAGAGGACAUUUAUGAAAUCAGUUUAUCCUGAUGGAAGAUAAUAGGAGGAAGUAAAACUCCUUGUCUUAAAGGAUCUAUUU